rnacentral:rRNA from 1 species
CAGCAGCCGCGGGAACACGAAGGGGGCUAGCGUUGCUCGGAAUGACUGGGCGUAAAGGGCGCGUAGGCGGCGAUCAAAGUCAGGCGUGAAAUUCCUGGGCUCAACCUGGGGGCUGCGUUUGAUACUUGAUUGCUAGAGUGGGGAAGAGGGUCGUGGAAUUCCCAGUGUAGAGGUGAAAUUCGUAGAUAUUGGGAAGAACACCGGUGGCGAAGGCGGCGACCUGGUCCUUGACUGACGCUGAGGCGCGAAAGCGUGGGGAGCAAACAGGAUUAGAUACCCCCGUAGUCCCUGUCUCUUAUAC